AAGGCGUUAUGCGUUGUAAACUGCUUUUGAUUGGGAAUAAAAAGACCCUGCGGGGUAAAUUGAAUGUACCAAUAGAAUAAGCCACGGCUAACUACGUGC
rnacentral:rRNA from 1 species